rnacentral:tRNA from 1 species
GUUCGAAUAGUUUAAGAAGAACGCGGCGGUGAAGUUGCCGUAGUGGCUGUAUGCCUUUGGACA